UGCUGCUAAGUCGCUUCAGUCGUGUCCGACUCUGUGCAACCCCAUAGACGGCAGCCCACCAGGCGCCCCCGUCCCUGGGAUUCUCCAGGCAAGAACACUGGAGUGGGUUGCCAUUUCCUUCUCCAGAAAAAUUUUAUAAACAACUUUUUCUCUAUGUAUGCUUAAAUCUAAAUAUUGAUUUUUAUCAGCCUUUUUUUAUUACUAAUACUUACUUUUAAUUGCGAUGUCUUAUUUUCAUUACAUUUAUUUUAUCUGCUUAUGUAAAAUGACUUUCCAUUUAUAGUAGUGGUAUAUAAAAAGUUUUAUAUAAACAAGAUGAUUUUAAAAUAUCAAGUUAUUACAGUAAGUACAAAAAAAUCUUGAAUAAUUAACCUUUGAAAAUCACUGCAGUAAAGCUAAAGCAACAGUAAAUGGUUAUAAUUAAGAGACUUGGCUCUUGAAAAGCCUCACCAAUAUCUAUUCUUUUAAUUUUUGUUUUCUUUCUUCUGAUUUUACAGCUAACCCACAAUGUGACACGUAUGUAUAUACAAAGUGACACGUAUGUAUAUAAACCUUAAAUUGUUUAAGAUCUAAGUGAGCUGUGUUACUGCAUUAUGGGGAACAACAUUAACGAGUAUAUUUCAUGUCUGUUUCACAGCUAACUACUACUGUAUUUCCAGAUGAGCCAAUAUUUCCACGUGACAGAUACACAUCUCUUUUUCUCUUAAUUACUCCACCAAUGCUGAGUGUUAUAAUUAUCACUUGGGCCAACGGCAAAUACCCUCAUUUAUUUACUUUGAAAUGAUACAAUCCAGGGAGGAAAAAAAUCCUCAUUCGAACACGGUAUUUUUUGUUUUAGUAACAACUGGGUAUAUUUCUGUUUGCAGCAAACCCUUACUCAAAAGAAGAAAUGGUUCAUCUUUACAUUCCACUUUUUAAGCAGCAGCACCGUUUCCAAGCUGCCACAGCUGUGACUUGCAGUGAGUCAGCUCUAUCCCCCGUACGCCUCAGCUUCUAAAUAUGUAAAGUGACAAAGCCAGAUCUGGGUUUAAGGAGACCAAAGAGAUGUAAACAUUAAUUCCAGGGCAGAAGACCUGAAUAUACAUUUUUCCAAAGAAGACAUAGAAAUGGCUAUUUGGCAUGUGAAAAGAUACUCAGCAUCACUAAUCACUGCAUGUGUGCUCAGCCACUUCAGUCGUGUCUGACUCUUUGUGACCCUGUGGACUGUAGCCCACCAGGCUCCUCUGUCCAUGGAAUUCUCCAGGCAAGAAUACUGGAGUGGGUUGCCAUGCCCUACUCCAGGGGAUCUUCCCAACCCAGGGAUCAAACCUGCAUCUCUUACGUCUCCUGCAUUGACAGGUGGAUUCUUUACCACUAGUGCCACCUGGGAAGCCCCACUAAUCAUUACAGAAUCAUUAUAGAAAUGUAAAUUAAAACCACAGUGAGAUAUCACCUCACACCUGUCAGAAUAGCUAUCAUCAAAAGUAUAGUACAGAUAACAAAUUUUGACAAGGACGUGGAGAAAAGGGAAUACUUGUGCGUUGUUGGCGGGAAUGUAAACUAGUGCAGCCGUUGUGGAAAACGGUAUGGCAGCGUCUCAAAAAAACUGUAUAUAUAUAUUGCUGUAUGACUCAGCAGUUCCACUCCUGGAUUUACAUCCAAAGAAAACAAAAACACUAAUUCAAAAAGACAUGCAUCCCGAUGUUCAUAGCAGCAUUAUUUGUAACAGCCAAGAUAAGGAAACAACCUACAUGUCCAUCAAUAGAUGAAUGAAUGAAGAAGAUGUGGUCCACGUAUACACAAUGGAACACUACCCAGCCAUACAAGAAGAAGGAAAUUCUGCCAUCUGCACCAACAUGAAUGGACGGCGGCACGCCAGGUUUCCCCUGUCCUUCACAAUCUUCUGGAGUUUGCUCAAACUUGUGACCACUGAGUCGGUGAUGCCAUCCAACCAUCUCAUCUUCUGUCAUCCCCUUCUCCUCCUGCCUUCAGUCUUUCCCAGCAUCAGGGUCUUCUCCAAUGGGUUGGCUCUUCGCAUCAGGUGGUCAGAGUAUUGGAACUUCAGCUACAGUCCUUCCAAUGAAUAUUCAGGGUUGAUUUCCUUUAGGAUUGACUGGUUUGAUCUCCUUGAUGUCCAAGGGAUUCGUCAAAUAUAUGUAGAAUCUAAGAAAUAAAGCAAACAAGUGUAUAACAAAACAGAUGCAGAGAACAAAGUAGUGGUUACUAGUGGGGAUAAAGAGGGGAAGGGGCAUGGGAUUAAGAGGUUCAAACUACUGUGUAUGAAAUAAAUAAGCAACAAGUAUAUAUUAUACAACACAGAGAAAUAUAGGCGUUAUUUUGUAAUACCAAAUGGAACAUAAUUUGUAAAAAAAUUGAAUUACUAUGUUGAACAUGUAUAACUAAGAAAAUACUGUAAAUAAACUAUACUUUGAUUUUUAAAGAAUUUUAAAAAA
ensembl:lncRNA